CAGCCGCCACGGUAAUACGUAGGUGGCAAGCGUUGUCCGGAAUUAUUGGGCGUAAAGGGCUCGCAGGCGGUCUCUUAAGUCUGAUGUGAAAGCCCCCGGCUCAACCGGGGAGGGUCAUUGGAAACUGGGAAACUUGAGUGCAGAAGAGGAGAGUGGAAUUCCACGUGUAGCGGUGAAAUGCGUAGAGAUGUGGAGGAACACCAGUGGCGAAGGCGACUCUCUGGUCUGUAACUGACGCUGAGGAGCGAAAGCGUGGGGAGCAAACAGGAUUAGAGACCCCGGUAGUCCCUGUCUCUUAUAC
rnacentral:rRNA from 1 species